rnacentral:rRNA from 1 species
AACGAACGCUGGCGGCAGGCCUAACACAUGCAAGUCGAGCGCCCCGCAAGGGGUGCGGCGGACGGGUGAGUAGCGCGUGGGGAUAUGCCCUUUGCUACGGACUAGUCUCGGGAAAGUGGUGGCAAUACCGUAUACGCCCUUUGGGGGAAUGGUUUAUCGGGCAAGGAUUAGGCCGUGUUGGAUUAGGUAGGUGGUGGGGUAAUCGCCCACCAAGGCGACGAGGCAUGGCUGGGUUGGGGUGAUGACAAACCACACUGGGACUGAGACACGGCCCAGACCGCUACGGGAGGGAGGAGUAGGGAAUCUUAGAGGAGGAGGGCUAACCUAGUCAAGCCAUGCCGGGUGAGUGAUGAAGGCCUUAGGGUUGUAAAGCUCUUUGAGCUGGGAAGAUAGUGACGGUACCAGCAGAAGAAGCACCGGCUAACUACGUG